ensembl:snRNA U6 U6 spliceosomal RNA
UUGCUCAUUUUGGCAGCAUGUAUACUAAAACUGGAAUGGCACAGAGAGGAUCAGCAUGGCACCUGCCCAAGGGAUGACAUGCAAAUUUGAGAAGACUUCUGUACAAUUUUU